GUGUCAGGGGCAGCUGCUGGAAGGAGGCGCAAGCACCACGGAGAGUCUGGGAUGCCCAGCCAAGGAGCCCUGGAAGGGUUGCCCUGGGGACUGACACUGUGGGCUCUGUGUUUUAGCCAAGUCACCCAGGCAGCUGAACAGAAGAUGGACUGGAGGGAGAAGCCUGGAUGUAGGAUCGCUCAGCAACAAAGGAGCCAGAAAAGGCAAGGUGUACACACCGUGUGCAGCAUGGGCGAGCUGCAGGCAUGCAGGUAAGAGUGUGUGCAUGCAGGUGUGUGCACACGAGUUUGCAUGUGCUGAUGCAGAUGGCUAUGAUGCGUGGUGGUGAUAUAUACAUGUGGAUGCUUAUGGAUCUGUGCCAACCAUUAUUAAGCACAUAUGUAUACCCGUGUGUGUAUAUGCAUGCAUGUGUUUGUGUGAGUUGCAAUGUGUAUACAACUUUACACAAUAAGUGAAUUGAGUACAUGUACCUGUUUAUCCACGGAAGUGUAUGAUGACUGGACAUAUGUAAAUAUGUGUAUUUGCAUGUGUUUAUACUUUGUGCAUAGAUGCAUGUUUG
ensembl:lncRNA LINC02757 long intergenic non-protein coding RNA 2757